UACGGAGGGAGCUAGCGUUGUUCGGAAUUACUGGGCGUAAAGCGCACGUAGGCGGCUUUGUAAGUUAGAGGUGAAAGCCCGGGGCUCAACUCCGGAAUUGCCUUUAAGACUGCAUCGCUUGAAUCCAGGAGAGGUGAGUGGAAUUCCGAGUGUAGAGGUGAAAUUCGUAGAUAUUCGGAAGAACACCAGUGGGCGAAGGC
rnacentral:rRNA from 1 species